rnacentral:tRNA from 1 species
GGGUAGAUGGCGGAACUGGUAGACGCGCUAGCCUUAGGAGCUAGUGGAGCGAUCCGUGGGGGUUCGAGUCCCCCUCUACCCACAA